UACGGGGGGGGCGAGCGUUGUUCGGAAUUACUGGGCGUAAAGGGUUUGUAGGUGGUCUGCUAAGUCAGACGUGAAAUCCCUCAGCUUAACUGGGGAACUGCGUCUGAUACUGGCGGACUUGAGGACAGGAGAGGAACGCGGAAUUCCAGGUGUAGCGGUGAAAUGCGUAGAUAUCUGGAGGAACACCUAUAGCGAAGGCAGCUUGCUGGGACGUUACUGACGCUAAGGCGCGAAAGCGUGGGGAGCGAACAGG
rnacentral:rRNA from 1 species